GGAAGUAAAAGUCGUAACAAGGUCUCCGUUGGUGAACCAGCGGAGGGAUCAUUACCGAGUUUACAACUCCCAAACCCAAUGUGAACGUUACCAAACUGUUGCCUCGGCGGGGUCACGCCCCGGGUGCGUCGCAGCCCCGGAACCAGGCGCCCGCCGGAGGAACCAACCAAACUCUUUCUGUAGUCCCCUCGCGGACGUAUUUCUUACAGCUCUGAGCAAAAAUUCAAAAUGAAUCAAAACUUUCAACAACGGAUCUCUUGGUUCUGGCAUCGAUGAAGAACGCAGCGAAAUGCGAUAAGUAAUGUGAAUUGCAGAAUUCAGUGAAUCAUCGAAUCUUUGAACGCACAUUGCGCCCGCCAGUAUUCUGGCGGGCAUGCCUGUCCGAGCGUCAUUUCAACCCUCGAACCCCUCCGGGGGAUCGGCGUUGGGGAUCGGGACCCCUCACACGGGUGCCGGCCCCGAAAUACAGUGGCGGUCUCGCCGCAGCCUCUCCUGCGCAGUAGUUUGCACAACUCGCACCGGGAGCGCGGCGCGUCCACGUCCGUAAAACACCCAACUUUCUGAAAUGUUGACCUCGGAUCAGGUAGGAAUACCCGCUGAACUUAAGCAUAUCAAUAAGCGGAG
rnacentral:rRNA from 1 species